rnacentral:lncRNA from 1 species
GAAUGGGACCACAAAUGUAUCCUUGAAUAUGUUCAAGGAACUGAAGUGGCUCAACUUGUAUUUUGAGAUGCGAUGGCCUCAAAAUUAGCUUUCCCGUGGCACAAGAUGUGCACACAAAAUCAAAAGAUUGAGGAAAUUUUGGCUCAAGCAAAUUAUGCCCAAUGGAAUUGCUAGUAAUUUUUCUCAUCAUCCCAAUUCCGGGAUGGCCCAGGCGAUCAAGCCAGGUUUGGAAUGUGUCAACAUUCUGAACAAAUUACUUUGUAUGCAACAUGUUCCACGGGUUUGAUGUACGUAUAGUACAAACCAGACGAAUAAAGCAGCAUAGUUCUGUUGUUCUGUCAGCGGUGUGGCUCCAGCUGGGAGAGGAGUCUUCGGGGGUUGGAUUGCACGCGCUAUUCCACGGUACGCAAGACUGGUCUUGAUGUCCAUAACCCAUGUAGGGUAGUUGUGGCCAUUGAGGGCAAGCUCCUCAAACUGUCUCGCAGUCA